GACGGAGGAUGCAAGUGUUAUCCGGAAUCACUGGGCGUAAAGCGUCUGUAGGUCGUUUAAAAAGUCUACUGUUAAAAAAUUGAGGCUUAACUUCAAAGGUGCCGUAGAAACUUUUAAACUUGAGGAUGGUAGGGGUAGAGGGAAUUUCCAGUGGAGCGGUGAAAUGCGUAGAUAUUGGAAAGACCACCAACGGCGAAGGCACUCUACUGGGCCAUUACUGACACUGAGAGACGAAAGCUAGGGGAGCAAAUGGG
rnacentral:rRNA from 1 species